rnacentral:lncRNA from 1 species
UGCAGAUCUCUGUGCUGCGUGGAACAGGAGUUGCCUAAGUGGCACCGGGCUCAGCCAUGUGCUAAAAUCACAGCCUGAGCAGGCUCUCUGAGCUUUAUUGUCAACUUUACAUGAUAAAGAUAACAGCAGCUUCCUUGAAGACUGCUUUAAGAAUUGCAGAUUCAUCAUUAGUUGGGCUUUCAUCAUGUUGACCAGGCUGGUCUCGAACUCCUUACCUCAGGUGAUCCACCUGCCUCUACCACAGAAAAUGCUGUGAUUACAGUAUGCCAUACUUAUGAAGAUAUAUCUUAACAACUACAAUUGUAUUCAACAUAAGAAUGAUGACAGGAGAAAAGAAGAACAGAAAAGAAAAUAAAAAGGUAUGAAAGGAGGAUGAAAAAAACAAGAAGUGGAAAUUGAGC